rnacentral:rRNA from 1 species
CCUACGGGUGGCUGCAGUGGGGAAUAUUGGGCAAUGGCCGAGAGUCUGAACCAGCCAAGUAGCGUGAAGGAUGACUGCCCUAUGGGUUGUAAACUUCUUUUAUAAAGGAAUAAAACGUGGUACGUGUGCCAUUUUGCAUGUACCUUAUGAAUAAGGAUCGGCUAACUCCGUGCCAGCAGCCGCGGUAAUACGGAGGAUCCGAGCGUUAUCCGGAUUUAUUGGGUUUAAAGGGUGCGUAGUGGGUUGUUUAAGUCAGUGGUUAAAGGUCGGGGCUUAACCUUGAAUUGCAAUUAAUACUGGAAGACUUGAGUUCAGAUGAGGUAGGCGGAAUACGUGAUGUAGCGGUGAAAUGCUUAGAUAUAACGAAGAACCCCGAUAGCGAAGGCAGCUUACUAGACUGUGACUGACAUUGAUGCACGAGAGUGUGGGUAGCGAACAGGAUUAGAUACCCGGGUAGUC